AUCUCAAGUGAAGUCGGGGCCAUUUACGCUAAUAUUUAGGUAGAUUAUAUCAGUUAAUUGAAAGUUAAGUUUAUUUAUAUAUGUAUACAUUGGUGAACAGAAACACCACAUUGUCGGACAUGAAGUAUUCGCUAAAGAUGAGUGAACUUUAUGAGUCAUUGUGACCUCUUUCCUGCUUCAUCGGACCCUGGACACCAUCUGUAAGCCAACUACUCAUUAAGACUAAUUCAAGGAGUCAUGGAGUCCAAAAAACGAUACAGCUACUGUAAGUUGUCGAAGAUUUGAGACGUCUGUACACUGUCCUAGCUGCUGCUCCAGGUCAAGACACCAGCAUCAGGUUUUUAUUCAAAAAAUGGGACAUCUGGGAUCUUCUCCGAUUCCUUGGACUUCGUUGUUGGUGGCAUUUCUGGUCGCGACUCAGCAAGCAUCUACUAAAGAUUUGCGUCAUGUCACUGAGCCCAAGAUCCCAGCAGCCUGCGUGUCCCUGCGAGGAACUGACAGCGACGAGACUAGUGUCCUCCAGAAGGCCCUCACCUCCUGCAGCAAGGGAAAUGCUGUCCAUCUGGCAUCCGGCACCUUCGUCUCGGGCCCGCUGACCAUCCCCUCUGGAGUCAGUCUGUGGAUUGACAGUGGUGCGGUGUUGAAAGCCAGCUCGAAUCCAAAGGAAUUCGACACUGGGAAAAACCUCUGUGGCACACUUAACAUCGAAUACACUGCCUGCAAACCAUUGAUUGAGAUAAAAGAUGCAACAGGAAGUGGUAUUUAUGGGAAAGGCACCAUUGAUGGACAGGGUGGUGUUACAAUGACUGGCAAAAGUAUCAGUUGGUGGGAGUUGUCCCACGAAGCACAAAUAAAGAACACAAAUCACAACUGUCCCAACCUGAUUGAAGUUAGCAGUUCGAAGAACAUUACUUUGUACGAUAUAACCCUGAAGAACUCCCCCGGUUCUCACGUCAUCAUCAAAAUGACCUAUGGGUUCACAGCUUGGGGAAUCACCAUCAACACGCCAGCGAAUGCUCGAAACACCGAUGGCAUGGACCCGAGUGGAUCGCAGAACAUCACAGUCGCACACAGCAGCAUCGGCGCUGGCGAUGAUAAUAUUGCAAUCAAAGGUGGCAAUGCUGCUACAAGACAUGUAUCAAUUAUGAACAACCAUUUCGGUUCGGGACAUGGUAUGUCCAUCGGCAGCGAAACGUACAGCGGCGUGAGCGACGUGACUGUCACUUCGCUCACUCUGGAAGGCACUACCAAUGGCCUGCGCAUAAAGAGUGAUCGCUCACGCGGUGGCCUGGUGACCGGCAUCUCGUACACCAACGUCUGCAUGAAAAAUGUUGCCAACCCCAUUGUAUUGGACACGCAGUACAGCCAUACAGCUAGUGGUAAUAAGAUCCCAGAAUAUCGGGACAUAACUUUUAACAAUAUUAAAGUCUUAACAGCUGGAAAAUAUAUGUUUAAUGGAUAUAGUGACGCGAAUCAUAUCCAGGCCACAUUGAAUAAUGUACAUAUCGCUAAAGGUUCAACCUGGACGACAAGUCAUGCCAAGAUUACUGGAAAUUACUCUGAAGAUGCAAGUGGCUGUAGUUGCUGAUGCAAUGGAAUGGAUAAUUUGGUAGUGCAAGCUAAAUACACUUAAAAUAACUCACUUUUCAAUAUUAAAUACUAUUUGAAUAUUUUGUUGUAUAUUUAAUACUAAAUUUAAUCACUUUAUGCAGUGCUUAAUUUCUAAAGUUUUAGGUGUGGGAACUCUAAAGCGGGAUGCUCAGACCGGGGGGUCUGGAAUACCCCCCAGGAAGGAGGAGGGUCCGGGGGCCCUCCCCCGGGAAAAAGUUUUGAAAAUUAUAACUGUAAACCCGCGUUUUCAGGCCAUCCAGACAUAAUACUACAAUUAUUUUUAUAAAAAAUUGAUAUUUUAAUGGUGAUUACUUUUUAAAGUGCUUGAUUAUGAUGUAAGAAAAUAAAAACAUGAAUUUAAAUUGAGUUCACCCUUUGCUCCAUUAACAUCUUGUUGACUACUUUCACUGACCAUUUUGUUUGAAGCAAUGAAGCUUACCAAUAUUACUUUUUUAAUGAAUGGUAAAAUAAAAACAAAUAAAGCCUUAUUUACAAUUUUAUUGAUAUACAGUACAGUUGUAAUAAUACAUAUCCAUAUGUAAAUAGAUGUUUUUGAAUAUAACAGCUUGCUUGAACUACAA